rnacentral:rRNA from 1 species
GAAGGUCUUAGGAUUGUAAAAUUCUUUCACCGGGGACGAUAAUGACGGUACCCGGAGAAGAAGCCCCGGCUAACUUCGUGCCAGCAGCCGCGGUAAUACGAAGGGGGCUAGCGUUGCUCGGAAUUACUGGGCGUAAAGGGAGCGUAGGCGGACUGUUUAGUCAGAGGUGAAAGCCCAGGGCUCAACCUUGGAAUUGCCUUUGAUACUGGCAGUCUUGAGUACGGAAGAGGUAUGUGGAACUCCGAGUGUAGAGGUGAAAUUCGUAGAUAUUCGGAAGAACACCAGUGGCGAAGGCGACAUACUGGUCCGUUACUGACGCUGAGGCUCGAAAGCGUGGGGAGCAAACAGGAUUAGAUACCCUGGUAGUCCACGCCGUAAACGAUGAGUGCUAGUUGUCGGCAUGCAUGCAUGUCGGUGACGCAGCUAACGCAUUAAGCACUCCGCCU